CCAUAGACUCCUGAGGCAUAAGAUGAGCCUGAAGACUACUUUCUGGCUUCUAAGAACCAACUCGAGUCCUACUCCUUGGGUGUUCACCUGAGCAGCUAGCCCCUUCUGAGGCCUCUAGGCCCCUGAGCCCUGCAGGAUUGAGGUCAUGAUCCCUGCUAUGUUCCAGAUGCUUCACAAGCUGGAGACAGAGUGUGAAGGGGCCCAGGAGGAGAUUGUGGGCCCAUGGAAACUGCCAGGCCCAAGCAACCCUCCUAGCCUGUGCUGGAAGAGAAGGCCAUUCCAUCUGGGAAUCACAUGGCCCUGGGUGGAGAGAGAACCGAUUGGGCCCAGGAUGCCUUGCAGAACCAGCAUCCAACCUCUCCCAUCAAGACAGCCUCCUGAUCCCAAAGAAAACAAAGUCUCAGCAUGUCCAACAAAUGUCUCAAGAUGACACCCAUUGGUCAGAGCCAGGACAUAUGAUCUGUUGCCCAGGGUUUGGGUAUACCACAUGGGCUGAAAUGGGGGAGUGGGGAGGAAGCUGGUUUUCCAAAGCCAAGCUAGAGGCUGCCCUUGAAGAAGGAAAUAAACACUUGGUAGCCAGAA